GCGAGGGUGGUGGAACUGGCAGACACGCGAGACUUAGGAUCUCGUGCCUCAGGCGUAGGGGUUCGAUUCCCCUCCCUCGCACCA
rnacentral:tRNA from 1 species